rnacentral:rRNA from 1 species
AUUGAACGCUGGCGGCAGGCUUAACACAUGCAAGUCGAGCGGAGAUGAGGUGCUUGCACCUUAUCUUAGCGGCGGACGGGUGAGUAAUGCUUAGGAAUCUGCCUAUUAGUGGGGGACAACAUUCCGAAAGGAAUGCUAAUACCGCAUACGUCCUACGGGAGAAAGCAGGGGAUCUUCGGACCUUGCGCUAAUAGAUGAGCCUAAGUCGGAUUAGCUAGUUGGUGGGGUAAAGGCCUACCAAGGCGACGAUCUGUAGCGGGUCUGAGAGGAUGCUCCGCCACACUGGGACUGAGACAGGGCCCAGACUCCUACGGGAGGCAGCAGUGGGGAAUAUUGGGCAAUGGGCGGAACCCUGAUCCAGCCAUGCCGCGUGUGUGAAGAAGGCCUUAUGGCUGUAAAGCACUUUAAGCGAGGAGGAGGCUACUGAGACUAAUACUCUUGGAUAGUGGACGUUACUCGCAGAAUAAGCACCGGCUAACUCUGUGCCAGCCGCCGCCGUAA